rnacentral:miRNA from 1 species
UACGGCCCCUCCAGGGAACCACG